GACGAACGCUGGCGGCGUGCUUAACACAUGCAAGUCGAACGGAAAGGCCCUGCUUGCAGGGUACUCGAGUGGCGAACGGGUGAGUAACACGUGGGUGAUCUGCCCUGCACUUCGGGAUAAGCUUGGGAAACUGGGUCUAAUACCGGAUAGGAGCCAUCUUUAGUGUGGUGGUUGGAAAGUUUUUUCGGUGUAGGAUGAGCUCGCGGCCUAUCAGCUUGUUGGUGGGGUAAUGGCCUACCAAGGCGGCGACGGGUAGCCGGCCGGAGAGGGUGUACGGCCACAUUGGGACUGAGAUACGGCCCAGACUCCUACGGGAGGCAGCAGUGGGGAAUAUUGCACAAUGGGCGCAAGCCUGAUGCAGCGACGCCGCGUGGGGGAUGAAGGCCUUCGGGUUGUAAACUCCUUUCGCUAGGGACGAAGCUUUGUUGUGACGGUACCUAGAGAAGAAGCACCGGCUAACUACGUG
rnacentral:rRNA from 1 species